CCUCUCUCUCUCUCUCUCUCUCUCUCUCUCUCUCUCUCUCUCUCUCUCUCUCUCUCUCUCUCUCUCUCUCUCUCUCUCUCUCUCUCUCUCCCUAUCUCUCUUUCCUGCUCUGUUUCGUUGCCUCCAUUUCUGUACCCUCCCCUGGCUCGGUGUAACUCCAUCACCGGCAAACUUCCCAAGUACAGCAGCAGGUCAGAUCUCCCCCCACCCCUCUCUGGCCGACUGUUGGAUCUGUUCGGCUGCUGGAUUCAUGUACCUGAGUUAGCACUCGAUUUAAUAGAAAGUGCCGAAUCAUGAACCGAGCCAACUGCGAAUAUGGUAACUACCUUCCAGCACAAUAGUAGGGCAAAAAGAUGGUCGUGCUUUACAUGUAGAUUAUGCAGUUUCAACUUGUUCAUGUUUCAAUCAUCUUCCGACCAUUUUCAACACUUUACAUGUAGAUUAUGUAUGCACUUGUGUAUAUGCACUCAGAUUGAUUUAUCAUCUUCGGUGCAGGGCUCUCUGUUGGACACUUCCGGUCUUCUGUUGCAGCCACGAUUUAUUAUAUUAUAAUAAAGUUAUAAGAGUAUACCGUAGGUACUUUUUAAGAAAAUAGAAGUGAAAAACACAAUCAUUAUGUUCAUAGUUUGCAUUGGCUCAUAAUAAUCAUUACUGCCUUCACAUGUUGCAUGGUGCUAGCUCAUCAUUUUGUCUUGUCGAUGUCAUGAAUUACUCUCUGUGGUUUAAUCCGGGUACACCCUAAUCUGACCAUUUUGUUCUAAAAUACAAGUCUGAUAUUAUGUGUUUCAUGGUUCUCGAUUCAUUCAGAUGCUGAGUCUAGCUAGUAGCCUAAACGAUAAUGGGCUUGCUCUUGUUUUUCACUUUCAAGGAUACCGUGGAAUUUAACUGCAAAUGGAUUGCUUAUCAAGUACAGCAAAAAGUGACCUGGAGCGCAUGCUAUUUGAUGAAACCGAACACCCCAAGGCCCUGCCAUUAUCACUUUUGGCAGAAAUCACAAAUGGCUUCUCUGAUAAGCAGAUAAUUGGCCAAGGUGGCUUUGCAGUGGUCUACCAGAAUCAUGCGAUUUGAUUGAAGAUGGAUGCAACGAAGCCCAGUGUAGGGACUAUUGUAGGAUCAUUGGUCACACCAAGGGAUCUUGCCGGGAAGCCGAGUAUUGUUGUUGUUUGAUUGCCGCAAAGCCCAAGGUGCAUCAUCGUGAUUGAGCUUCUAUGAACAUUAUUUUAUUAGAUAUAUAGCAAAAGAGCCCUUGUAACGGGUACAAAAUAAAUAAAUUUUAUGCAGAAACAUUUAAUUAGCGCCUCCCAUCACAGUUGCAUAAGCUGAGUCAUCAACAUGCCACUUUGACCCGGAUUUGGGACAGCCCCUCCUUUUAUCUUCUGCCAUGAUUGCUCCCCAUUUUCAUAAACCAUGGUUCCGCCUCUUGGGUCAUGACGGUGGAACCUUGGCACCAUGGAUCAUGUGUUGUCUCGCCUCUGACUCAGCUCAUUAUAUGACAAGAAGUGGUAGAAAAAAAAUUAAAUAUGCUUAAGUUGCACCUAAUUCUUAAGUACCUAUCACAGGAAAAAUGAGCUUUCUAACCCUACAAGCAUGUCAAGAAGUUAAGUGCUAAAGCUCCACACUGCAGCUUGAGGACAAUACUAUUUAAAUCCAAUCUAAGCAGCUUAGUUGUCAUAUGUGCACUUGAAAAACUAUGUAACUUAUCAAAGAAACAAAAUAUACAACAUGGAAUGGGCCUUGCAUUGUUAUCAGACGCAAUGGCAGUGUGCAUAUAUAUACAUACAUCGCUAUGUGUAUGAUCAAACUAAAAUAUAUAUCUUUUGAAGCCAUGCAUUGCUACAGGGAAUAGUGCACCAAAGAUCAAACGAAAAUAACAAAAUUAAAAAGUUUUAUCAUGGAUUAAUCAAUUGAGA